rnacentral:rRNA from 1 species
UACAGAGGUCUCAAGCGUUGUUCGGAUUCAUUGGGCGUAAAGGGUGUGUAGGCGGCGCCGGUAAGUCGGGUGUGAAAUUCGAUGGCUUAACUCCGAAACUGCAUUCGAUACUGCCGGUGCUUGAGGACUGGAGAGGAGACUGGAAUUCAGGUGUAGCAGGUGAAAUGCGUAGAGAUCAUGAGGAAGACCAGUGGCGAAGGCGGGUCUCUGGACAGUUCCUGACGCUGAGACACGAAGGCCAGGGGAGCAAACGGG